rnacentral:rRNA from 1 species
AAUGAAAUGAAUGUCGAAAAGGGUUGUAGCUGGCCUCUAUGAGGCAUGUGCACACCUUUAUCGCUCAUCCACAUCUCACACCUGUGCACAACCUGUAGCUUUGGGAUGAUUACAAUACUGGAAACGGUAUUGAAAGUCCCUUGGCUAUGAAUUUUUAUACAACCCAUACCAAAAGUCAUAGAAUGUACAAUGUUAUAGCGUGUAACAGCGCAAAUAAAUAAAUACAACUUUCAGCAACGGAUCUCUUGGCUCUCGCAUCGAUGAAGAACGCAGCGAAAUGCGAUAAGUAAUGUGAAUUGCAGAAUUCAGUGAAUCAUCGAAUCUUUGAACGCACCUUGCGCUCCUUGGUAUUCUGAGGAGCAUGCCUGUUUGAGUGUCAUGAAAUUCUCAACUGCUUCAGCUUUUGUGGUUGAAGUGAAGUUGGAUUUGGAGGAAUAAUUGCUGGCGUGACCGCUGUAGGUUGCUUGUUGGCUCCUCUUAAAUGGAUGAACUUUCCAGUAGUAAAGUAACACCAAUGUGAUAAUUAUCUACGUUGGAUGAGCUCUUACGAAGAAAGAUGAACUCUGUCUUGGAGGAAAUAAAAAACACCCCCCCUUGACAAAACAAAUGACAGUUUUGACCUCAAAUCAGGUAGGA